AACGGAGAGGGCGAGUGUUAUUCAACAUGACUGGGUGUAAAGGGUACGUAGGCUGUUUUUUUAUGUAGUAAUCUAAAAAGAAGGUUAUUAGACUAAUUAACUAAGAGUUUUGAAGAAGAUAACGGUAUUUUGAGUGUAAAAGUGACAAUUUAAGAAAUUCAAGAGACCUUCAAUUGGUGAAGACGGUUAUCUAUGAAAAACUGACGCUGAGGUACAAAAGCGUAGGGAGCAAACAGG
rnacentral:rRNA from 1 species